GAUGAACGCUGGCGGCGUGCCUAAUACAUGCAAGUCGAGCGAACAGACGAGGAGCUUGCUCCUCUGACGUUAGCGGCGGACGGGUGAGUAACCCGUGGAGAACCUACCUAUAAGACUGGGAUAACUUCGGGAAACCGGAGCUAAUACCGGAUAAUAUAUUUAACCGCAUGGUUCAAUAGUGAAAGACGGUUUUGCUGUCACUUAUCGAUGGAUCCGCGCCGCAUUAGCUAGUUGGUAAGGUAACGGCUUACCCAGGCCACGAUGGCUAGCCGACCUGAGAGGGUGAUGGGCCACACUGGCACUGAGACACGGUCCAGACUGCCACGGGAGGCAGCAGUAGGGAAUCUUACGCAAUGGGCGAAAGCCUGGCGGAGCAACGAGGCGUGAGUGAUGAAGGUCUUCGGAUCGUAAAACUCUGUUAUUAGGGAAGAACAAAUGUGUAAGUAACUAUGCACGUCUUGACGGUACCUAAUCAGAAAGCCACGGCUAACUACGUG
rnacentral:rRNA from 1 species